rnacentral:rRNA from 1 species
GACGAACGCUGGCGGCGUGCCUAUCACAUGCAAGUCGAGCGGGGUCCAUCCGGUAGCAAUACCGGGGAAGACCUAGCGGCGAACGGGUGAGUAACACGUGAGAAACCUGCCCGAAGUCUGGGAUAACCCGAGGAAACUCGAGCUAAUACCGGAUGUCUUCUUCUGAUCGCAUGGUCGGAUGAAGAAAGAUUUAUCGCUUCGGGAGGGUCUCGCGGCCUAUCAGCUAGUUGGCGGGUAACGGCCCACCAAGGCGUCGACGGGUAGCUGGUCUGAGAGGACGAUCAGCCACACUGGGACUGAGACACGGCCCAGACUCCUACGGGAGGCAGCAGUGGGGAAUAUUGCGCAAUGGGCGAAAGCCUGACGCAGCAACGCCGCGUGCGGGAUGAAGGCCUUCGG